GACGCGAAAAUUAAGUGAUUUACAGUAUAUAGGAAACAUCUUCUCAAUAAUACCAAAGCCAUAUAUAGUCAUAUUGAUAUGGAAGCAUCCUUAGGUAGUGUAGAUUCAAAUUUGUCCAAAUCUUGAUUCCAGGGGGCAGGGAGGGGCAUCAAUGGGGAUAAAAUUUUAACAAAGGAAUAUAUAGGAAAAAAUUUUAUGUUCAUGCCAGAACAGCUAAGCCAUUGUUAUUGAUAUGAAAAUGUCUCCAGGUAGUUAUUUAAGCCCCCUUCUCCUCUUCCUAAAUUUUAUACUUUUCAGUACUGGACUAAAUUGUCAUUUACUAGCCAAUAUGCUUAGGUGAGUAUAUUGCCCAUUGGCCACUAGUUUAUUUUAGAAAUCUUCUCACUUGGUAUGAAGUGCAAGUGAUCCCCAUUUGGUGUCUGUUAAUUUUUAUCUUUUUAAGAGGAAUACUUUUAAGGCUGAACAGGAUCCUGAAGUGAGGACUCCCUCUCUCAUUGAACUGCAUACAGCAGCAGAAAGCAGGAUUUCAGUUCCCCUUUGAUUCAGAAGAGGAACAACAAUGGAGGACCAAGGUCAUUAAUAUAAGAAGAGUCUAUUCCUGUCUGUGUUUUGCAGCAGAAGAAAGUUAAGACUGACCAGGAAUUCUAAGUGAGGAAGAGUCCCUUUCCCAUUCCACUGCAGCCAUGAGGAGAAUACUCGUAAGAAUCAGACUUUACUUCUUUUUCACCUAUGGAACUUCAUCAUGACCCACUUUAACAGGCAGGAGUCUUACAAUAUUUUCAAGGAAUUUGACAAGGGAAGAGGACCAGUGCUGACCAAGUGAAGAAAAAGAAGAGUCUUAAUUGCCAAGCUUUGUACAGCAGCCAAUAUCUGAUUAAGGAGUGGGCAGGCGGUUAUGCUGGCAUUGAUCCCGUUUCCAAAAGCAGAUCAACAUGAUUCCUCAAGACUCCAAAGAGAUCAACUAUGGGACUUGAAAAUAAAGGCAGACUGCCAUCAAUUUCAUGUUUCUUUGAUAGCAGACAAAUAUGCUUCAACAAUAGUGCAGAGAGUAAUUUAAGGUUUGGACUGCAAGUGUUGGACACACUAAAUAACUCAUUACUCAAAGAAUUCAAUGGAUAGUGCUGAGUACAUUAUUAUAUAUCUACAAAGUGAUGGGCACACUAAAUAGCUUAACUGACAGAAUUCAAUGGACCGUGCUGAGAACAUUGAUAUAUAUCUACAAAGUGAUGGACACACUAAAUAGCUUAACUGAUGGAAUUCAAUGGACCGUGCUGAGUACAUUGUUAUCUACAAAGUGAUGGACACACUAAAUAGCUUAACUCACAGAAUCCAAUGGACAGAGUUGAGUAUGUACUAAUAUCUACAAAGUGAUGGACACAGUAAACAGCUUAAUUCUCAGGAUUCUGUGUACCAUGCUGAGUACAUAACUGACAUUAAGGAUAACUCAUGAUCAUAUGACAUCCACAGCAGAUCACUCAAAGUUGUGUUACUACAUUAUUGUACAACUUUUCAUAUACUACGUUA